rnacentral:rRNA from 1 species
GACGAACGCUGGCGGCGUGCCUAACACAUGCAAGUCGAGCGGUAAGGCCUUUCGGGGUACACGAGCGGCGAACGGGUGAGUAACACGUGGGUGAUCUGCCCUGCACUCUGGGAUAAGCCUGGGAAACUGGGUCUAAUACUGGAUAUGACCUCAGCAUGCAUGUGCUGGGGUGGAAAGCUUUUGUGGUGCAGGAUGGGCCCGCGGCCUAUCAGCUUGUUGGUGGGGUAAUGGCCUACCAAGGCGACGACGGGUAGCCGACCUGAGAGGGUGACCGGCCACACUGGGACUGAGACACGGCCCAGACUCCUACGGGAGGCAGCAGUGGGGAAUAUUGCACAAUGGGCGGAAGCCUGAUGCAGCGACGCCGCGUGAGGGAUGAAGGCCUUCGGGUUGUAAACCUCUUUCAGCAGGGACGAAGCGUGAGUGACGGUACCUGCAGAAGAAGCACCGGCUAACUACGUGCCAGCCGCCGCAGUAA